AACGAACGCUGGCGGCAUGCCUAACACAUGCAAGUCGAACGAGACCUUCGGGUCUAGUGGCGCACGGGUGCGUAACGCGUGGGAACCUGCCCUUAGGUUCGGAAUAACUCCCCGAAAGGGGUGCUAAUACCGGAUAAUGUCUUCGGACCAAAGAUUUAUCGCCUUUGGAUGGGCCCGCGUUGGAUUAGCUGGUUGGUAGGGUAAAAGCCUACCAAGGCGACGAUCCAUAGCUGGUCUGAGGGGAUGAUCAGCCACACUGGACCGAGACACGGCCCAGAAUCCUACGGGAGGCAGCAGUGGGGAAUAUUGGACAAUGGGCGAAAGCCUGAUCCAGCAAUGCCGCGUGAGUGAUGAAGGCCUUAGGGUUGUAAAGCUCUUUUACCCGGGAUGAUAAUGACAGUACCGGGAGAAUAAGCUCCGGCUAACUCCGUG
rnacentral:rRNA from 1 species